rnacentral:ncRNA from 1 species
GUUAAUCUGAUGAAGAGAAUUAGUAACUCAAUGGUACUAUUAAUAGAGAGCUGACUGUGGUGGAAUGUCGGUAGUAGGAGUUGGGCGAAUGGGUCUUGGAGGAGUGGAUCGAAAUAAUAGUAGACUUCACCGUGGGCUGCACGUUAUAGCGGAUAGGGAAUGAUUGUUCCUGAUAAUGAGAUAUGUAUAGGUUUGUAAUUGUAUUUGACAGCAACAGACUGGUACAUAAUUUAGGUGGCAACGCGAAUUUAUACUUCGCCCUAUAU